rnacentral:rRNA from 1 species
AUGCAAGUCGAGCGAAGCGCUUUGGAAAGAUUCUUCGGAUGAUUUCCUUUGUGACUGAGCGGCGGACGGGUGAGUAACGCGUGGGUAACCUGCCUCAUACAGGGGGAUAACAGUUAGAAAUGACUGCUAAUACCGCAUAAGACCACGGUACCGCAUGGUACAGUGGUAAAAACUCCGGUGGUAUGAGAUGGACCCGCGUCUGAUUAGGUAGUUGGUGGGGUAACGGCCUACCAAGCCGACGAUCAGUAGCCGACCUGAGAGGGUGACCGGCCACAUUGGGACUGAGACACGGCCCAGACUCCUACGGGAGGCAGCAGUGGGGAAUAUUGCACAAUGGAGGAAACUCUGAUGCAGCGACGCCGCGUGAAGGAUGAAGUAUUUCGGUAUGUAAACUUCUAUCAGCAGGGAAGAAAAUGACGGUACCUGACUAAGAAGCCCCGGCUAACUACGUGCCAGCAGCCGCGGUAAUACGUAGGGGGCAAGCGUUAUCCGGAUUUACUGGGUGUAAAGGGAGCGUAGACGGCACGGCAAGCCAGAUGUGAAAGCCCGGGGCUCAACCCCGGGACUGCAUUUGGAACUGCUGAGCUAGAGUGUCGGAGAGGCAAGUGGAAUUCCUAGUGUAGCGGUGAA